rnacentral:rRNA from 1 species
GGAGGAUGGCGGCUACCUGCAGUCGAGCGAGAGGAAGUAGCAAUACUUUAGUAAAGCGGCGCACGGGCGAGUAACACGUGGAUAACCUGCCUCGAAGUGGGGAAUAACCCCGGGAAACCGGAGCUAAUACCGCAUAAUCUGACGAGAUCUGUGGAUUUUGUCAGCAAAGGAGCAAUUCGCUUUGAGAGGGGUCCGCGGCUGAUUAGCUAGUUGGUGAGGUAAUGGCUCACCAAGGCCACGAUCAGUAGCCGGUCUGAGAGGACGGUCGGCCACACUGGAACUGAGACACGGCCCAGACUCCUACGGGAGGCAGCAGUGGGGAAUUUUUCGCAAUGGGGGCAACCCUGACGAACCAACGCCGCGUGGGUGAUGAAGUAUUUCGGUACGUAAAACCCUUUCCACGGGGACGAAACCGCAAGGUUGACGGUACCCGUAGAAGAAGCCCCGGCUAACUCCGUGCCAGCAGCCCCGGUAAUACGGGGGGGGCAAGCGUUGUUCGGAAUUACUGGGCGUAAAGGGCGCGCAGGCGGUUCGCUAAGUUGGAUGUGAAAACUCUGGGCUUAACCCAGAGCCUGCAUCCAAAACUGGCAAACUUGAUUACUGGAGGGGAAAGCGGAAUUCCUGGUGUACCGCUGAAAUGCGUAGAUAUCAGGAGGAACACCGGUGGCGAAGGCGGCUUUCUGGACACCAACUGACGCUGAGGCGCGAAAGCUAGGGGAGCCAACAGGAUUAGAUCCCCUGGUACUCCUACCCCUAAACCAUGGAUACUUGGGGUGAGGGGGAUUGAUCCCUUCGUGCCGUACCUAACGCAAUAAGUAUCCCGCCUGGGGAGUACGGUCGCAAGGCU